rnacentral:rRNA from 1 species
GACGAACGCUGGCGGCGUGCUUAACACAUGCAAGUCGAACGGAAAGGCCCUGCUUGCCGGGUACUCGAGUGGCGAACGGGUGAGUAACACGUGGGUGAUCUGCCCUGCACUUCGGGAUAAGCCUGGGAAACUGGGUCUAAUACCGGAUAGGAGCCAUUUUUAGUGUGAUGGUUGGAAAGUUUUUUCGGUGUAGGAUGAGCUCGCGGCCUAUCAGCUUGUUGGUGGGGUAAUGGCCUACCAAGGCGGCGACGGGUAGCCGGCCUGAGAGGGUGGACGGCCACAUUGGGACUGGGAUACGGCCCAGACUCCUACGGGAGGCAGCAGUGGGGAAUAUUGCACAAUGGGCGCAAGCCUGAUGCAGCGACGCCGCGUGGGGGAUGACGGCCUUCGGGUUGUAAACGCCUUUCGCUAGGGACGAAGCUUUUUGUGACGGUACCUAGAGAAGAAGCACCGGCUAACUACGUG